GUGAAAUUUCAGCAAGACGAUCAUGGAGUCGGGACGGUCAUAUCUUACGAUAAGAAUCAUAAAUCAAAUUCGGACGAUAAAUCGUUAGCAACCUAACAUAGUUUUGGCGAGGAAAUAAUUGAAGCUGAAAUGGAGUUGACGCUAACGUAGAGCCUUGGCUGACUUGAAAUCAUGACUAAAGUCGAAUAACUUUAUUAUCUUAUAUAUUAGCUAUUAAGGACCUUAUAAUUUCAUUUGAUGUUGUAUUUGGAUAAUUUUAAGUUUUUAUUUAAUAUUAUUUGAACCUUUGGUUAUGUACGAGAGUUGGAAUGCCCUAUUAAGAUGUCAACUUUUUAGUUUAUUAA